GAUGAACGCUGGCGGUAUGCUUAACACAUGCAAGUCGAACGGAGUUGUGGACGGGUGAGUAACGCGUGAGAAUCUGGCUUCAGGUCCGGGACAACAGUGGGAAACUGCUGCUAAUACCGGAUGCCUGAAGAUGAGCUCGCGUCUGACUAGCUAGUGGGUGGGGUAAGAGCCCACCAAGGCGACGAUCAGUAACUGGUCUGAGCGGAUGACCAGUCACACUGGGACUGAGACACGGCCCAGACUCCUACGGGAGGCAGCAGUGGGGAAUUUUCCGCAAUGGGCGAAAGCCUGACGGAGCAAUACCGCGGGAGGGAGGAAGGCUCGUGGGUUGUAAACCUCUUUUCUCAGGGGAGCGGUACCUGAGGAAUAAGCAUCGGCUAACUCCGUGCCAGCAGCCGCGGUAAUAC
rnacentral:rRNA from 1 species